CACGCCCUAAACGAUGUCUACUGGUUGUUGGGGAUUCAUUUCCUUAGUAACGAAGCUAACGCGUGAAGUAGACCGCCUGGGGAGUACGGUCGCAAGAUUAAAACUCAAAUGAAUUGACGGGGACCCGCACAAGCGGUGGAUGAUGUGGAUUAAUUCGAUGCAACGCGAAAAACCUUACCUACCCUUGACAUGCCACUAACGAAGCAGAGAUGCAUUAGGUGCUCGAAAGAGAAAGUGGACACAGGUGC
rnacentral:rRNA from 1 species